CUCCGACGGGAGACGCCGUCGCCGGUCUCUGACGGGAGACGCCGUCGCCGCCGCCGCCGACCUUUGAGGGGAGACGCCGCCGCCACCUGCACUGAACCCCAGGGCAGGGUGCGACGAUCGUCGCAAGGAGUACUUGCCGGCCGUACACAGGUAUUCUAAACCUUACCAUCCUAUUCUCAUCAUUCACAAAUGUGUUCAGAUAGUUGUUGCUUGUGUCGUUCCUGUUACUAGAGGAGGGCUCCACUGUGGCCAUUCGCCACUCUGCCUGCAAGCUCGACGCCACAGUUUGACAGGGCCAAGGUGGUAGUAGACGAUGACGAAUAUGGCGCCCUGGCUGUCUCAGUUCAUGAGAUUCCCCUAUGGUGGCUGAAUUUGUAACACACCAGGCUGCUCCCCUCGUAUUACAAAUCAGAGCUAGCUUAUAUAUUCAUCCAUAGAUCAUGGCUGACUCCAAAGGCAACACUCCUCCAGUCCUCCUGUGCGUGAUGGCAAAGCUAUGCUACAUGAUAUUAUCACGUUAUCAUAUUGCUCACCAAGUCACUAGGCCAGCUUUUGCUGUACUUUUUCUUCAUUUUGUUCAGAUUUAUUUCAUGCCCCAAUGUUCUGUUAUGUGCAGCUAUGAGAUUUUAUUUGAAGAACCAUGGAAAGCAAUUUGAGACGAUGCAUAUAAAGCAUAUUCGAUUUAUUAAGUGUUUUCAAGUAUUCAAUUUAUUAAGAGUUCACUCAUAAUUGCCGACCGUACACAGGUAUUCUGAACCUUACCAUCCGAUUUUCAGAAUAAGAGUUGUCUGUAUAAUUCACGGUGGUUAAAACAGCAGCAUCUGUAGAAUUCCCCUUUGUCCAUGUUGUACCUACAAUUUACUACUAUAUUUGUAGUGCUACUUCAUUUGAAUUUUGUAACCAAAAGAAAUGCAGGCGAGCGAUUCAGGGUUAUUGUUCGAAGUGGCUAUAAUAUGUAGGGGUUAUUGUUCGAAGUGGCUAUAAUAUGUGGCUGCAAACUUGCCGAGGCCAGCAUAAGGAGUGAUGGAGUUAUCUUCUACUUUUAUUUGUUCAUGUUGUCUCAACAAACUGACUUGUGUUUAUGGCGACUUUUUUAUGUGUCCAUGGAUCAGAGAGGAUGGAUGAUGCAGUGGCCACAUCAAGCGCCCUGUGCUCGACCACAAUGGAAAUGCAGUUUCUCAGAGCUAGCAGGAAGGAGGCUGGUGGCUUCCCGUUGUAGUAAGAGACAACACACCAGAUCCGUUGAUGAAGAAAACAACACAUUUCACGAUAUGAUGAUUGGUACUUCCAGUUUUGUUGUACUCUCUCAUUUGCCUUUGUGGGAACGACACUGCUCUAUUGCUUGCUUAUUUAAGAUCAUGCAUAUAUGCCGCAUGUCAGCCUCAUGGGGAUCAAGCAGAUGAGGAGAAGGAAGCAGCAAGGAAGAAGCAAUUUCACAACUCUGGGAAGAGCAUCUGCUGGAGGGCGUCACCUGCGGCAUCACCUGCAUCGACCUCUCGCUGAUUACCAUCCCAAGGAUGCGCGACCGACUGGCGAAGCAGGGCACCAGUGAUAAGUUCACCGAUUUGGUCGACUCACCGUUCCCUGACUCUGUCCACGCAAUGCCGCUCGUUGUUGUUAGGUUGUUAAUUCAUCAGGCCCCUUAUUGCGCUACAUAGUUUGUUCAUCUCGCAUGCCUUCUUAGGAGAAAUCAUGUACUGAAGAUAAGCUAUUCUUUAUUUACAUUUUAUUUAUUUUGCUUUGGAAAUCUUCUGACUACUUGGACGAAUUUUAGUUCCUACUUGUACAGUUGCCUGCAUUUUGUGUUUGAGAAACAUCUGCUGAUUAAGUGUAAAAUAAUACUUGCAAGUUCUGUUUGUUGACUGCGCCAUGAUAAGC